CUAAGACAUGCGAGUCGAGCGUCUCUAGCUAUGUUGAGACGCGGCAGACGGCUCAGUAACACGUGGCUAACCUACCCUCAGGACAAGUACAAACCCGGGAAACUGGGGCUAAUACUCGAUAGGCGAAGGCGCCUGGAAUGGUUCUUCACCCAAAGGGCUUUAGAAACAUGCUUCUAGAGUCGCCUGGGGAUGGGGCCGCGUCCGAUCAGGUUGUUGGUGAGGUAACGGCUCACCAAGCCUAUAACCGGUACGGGCCGUGAGAGCGGUAGCCCGGAGAUGGGUACUGAGACAAGGACCCAGGCCCUACGGGGCGCAGCAGUCGCGAAAACUCCGCAAUGCACGAAAGUGUGACGGGGCUACCCCGAGUGCCGUCCGCUGAGGAUGGCUUUUCCUUGGUGUAACUAGCCGGGGGAAUAAGGAGAGGGCAAGACUGGUGUCAGCAGCCGCGGUAA
rnacentral:rRNA from 1 species